UUUUCCAUCACCAUGUUCCAACUGACAAUUUACAAAACUAAUGCCUUCCUCCUGCUAUGAAUAGAUAACAGAUCACAUGUACUCUGCGUUGCUAC